rnacentral:rRNA from 1 species
UACGAAGGGGGCUAGCGUUGUUCGGAAUUACUGGGCGUAAAGCGCACGUAGGCGGAUAUUUAAGUCAGGGGUGAAAUCCCAGAGCUCAACUCUGGAACUGCCUUUGAUACUGGGUAUCUUGAGUAUGGAAGAGGUAAGUGGAAUUGCGAGUGUAGAGGUGAAAUUCGUAGAUAUUCGCAGGAACACCAGUGGCGAAGGCGGCUUACCUGGUCCAUAACUGACGCUGAGGUGCGAAAGCGUGGGGAGCAACAGGG